rnacentral:tRNA from 1 species
GCUUCUGUAGCCUAGUUGGUAAAGGCAGCACUCUAGUACUGUGUAAGGUCGUGAGUUCAAUUCUCACCAGAUACA